rnacentral:misc_RNA from 1 species
GAAAUGCGAUAAGUAGUGUGAAUUGCAGAAUUCAGUGAAUCAUCGAAUCUUUGAACGCACAUUGCGCCCUAUGGUAUUCCGUAGGGCAUGCCUGUCCGAGCGUCAUUACGCACCCUCAAGCCCGGCUUGUGUGAUGGGCCCCGGCGUCUCGUUCGCGAGACGGGCCCGAAAGGCAGCGGCGGCGUCGACCCGAUGAGCCCGAGCGUAUGGGGACUUCUGUCACACGUUCGCGGUGCGGACCGGCGCCUGCUUGACUUUUCUGAUUAUCCAGGUUGACCUCGGAUCAGGUAGGGAUACCCGCUGAACUUAAGC